ACGAAGUCCACUGCAGCUGCUGACCACUGCACAAGAUUAGAAUAUAACUCUUGUGCGUGUGACAACGGCUAUCGUGGGUAUUCCAAGCCAUCGG
rnacentral:pre_miRNA from 1 species